AUUGAACGCUGGCGGCAGGCCUAACACAUGCAAGUCGAACGAGUGGCGGACGGGUGAGUAAUGUCUGGGAAACUGCCUGAUGGAUGGGGAUAACUACUGGAAACGUUAGCUAAUACCGCAUACCAUCAGAUGUGCCCAGAUGGGAUUAGCUCGUUGGUGGGGUAACGGCUCACCAAGGCGACGAUCCCUAGCUGGUCUGAGAGGAUGACCAGCGACACGGCAACGGUGAAUCGGGGAAGACGCGUACGAGAGGCAGCAGGGGGGAAUGUUGCACAAUGGGCGAAAACCUGAAGCAGCGAAGGCGCGUGUGGGUGGAGGUACAUCGGGUUUUAUAGUACUUACGACUGGGAGGCGUUACCCGUUUAAGAAGAACCUGCUGACGCCGUGCCAGCAGCCGCGGUAAUAC
rnacentral:rRNA from 1 species